rnacentral:rRNA from 1 species
GAUGAACGCUAGCGGCAGGCUUAAUACAUGCAAGUCGUGGGGCAGCAUGAAGUAGCAAUACUUUGAUGGCGACCGGCAAACGGGUGCGGAACACGUACACAACCUUCCUUUUAGUGGGGAAUAGCCCAGAGAAAUUUGGAUUAAUACCCCGUAACAUAGCGAUGUGGCAUCACAUUGCUAUUAUAGCUUCGGCGCUAGAUGAUGGGUGUGCGUAUGAUUAGAUAGUUGGCGAGGUAACGGCUCACCAAGUCUACGAUCAUUAGCUGAUGUGAGAGCAUGAUCAGCCAAACGGGCACUGAGACACGGGCCCGACUCCUACGGGAGGCAGCAGUAAGGAAUAUUGGUCAAUGGACGAAAGUCUGAACCAGCAUGCCGCGUGAAGGAUUAAGGUCCUCUGGAUUGUAAACUUCUUUUAUAUGGGACGAAAAAAGGUCUUUCUAGAUCACUUGACGGUACCAUAUGAAUAAGCACCUGCUAACUCCGUGCCAGCAGCCGCAGUAACAC